AGAAAUGUUAUUUUCUACCACAUUGUCAUUAUCUUUUAUACCUCUAGUGUUUACCCUAAGUACUCCUAUGUUUUGUAUGAUUACUAUCUCUACAAACCUUCAGAAAAGUCACAAAAGUCACCCAUCCCUGACAAAGAUGAGAAAAUGCCUACCGUCUCUCUCUCUUUUUUUCUACAGAUAAUUCAAUACAAGAAAGAAGAUUUGCUUGGGAAGUAGAUGGGGCAAAGCAUUACCUUGUGUAAAACUGCUGCUAAAAUAUAUUCCUAGUGAGAAAGGUCAACUUGUGGGCUAAAGUCCUUGUCACCUCCUGAUCAGUUUUCACUUAGGGCACAGCAGUCUGCCAUUCACCAUUGGGAUCUCUGUGUGUUUCUUCUCUCUUACGAAAGGAGAUACUGAGUGCUCUAGGACUUGGCUGCCUACAUCAAGUAGAGGGG
rnacentral:lncRNA from 1 species